CAGUAGCCGCGGUAAUGCGAAGGGGGCGAGCGUUGUUCGGAUUUACUGGGCGUAAAGGGCGCGCAGGCGGCAGAUCAAGUCAGAUGUGAAAGCCCCGGGCUUAACCUGGGAACUGCAUUUGGGACUGGUUUGCUAGAGAUCGGGAGAGGAGAGUGGAAUUCCCAGUGUAGAGGUGAAAUUCGUAGAUAUUGGGAAGAACACCGGUGGCGAAGGCGGCUCUCUGGACCGAUACUGACGCUGAGGCGCGAAAGCGUGGGGAGCAAACAGGAUUAGAUACCCCGGUAGUCCCUGUCUCUUAUAC
rnacentral:rRNA from 1 species